rnacentral:rRNA from 1 species
GGGUGUGAUUAUACCAACAGUAAUGCAUAGGAUCCCAUCAGAGUUGCACCUUCUAGGAAUGCUUUCGAGAUAGUAGUACUAUUAUGGGUGACCUUCUAGGAAGUCCUCGUGUUGCACCUC